UAGGGAAUCUUCCACAAAUGGACGCAAGUCUGAUGGAGCAACGCCGCGUGAGUGAAGAAGGUCUUCGGAUCGUAAACUCUGUUGUUAGAGAAGAACACGAGUGAGAGUAACUGUUCAUUCGAUGACGGUAUCUAACCAGCAAGUCACGGCUAACUACGUGCCCG
rnacentral:rRNA from 1 species